rnacentral:rRNA from 1 species
UACAGAGGUCUCGAGCGUUGUUCGGAUUCAUUGGGCGUAAAGGGCGCGUAGGCGGCGGGGUAAGUCUGGUGUGAAAUCUAGGAGCUCAACUCCUAAACUGCACUGGAUACUGCUCUGCUAGAGGACUGGAGAGGAGACUGGAAUUCACGGUGUAGCAGUGAAAUGCGUAUAUAUCGUGAGGAAGACCAGUGGCGAAGGCGGGUCUCUGGACAGUUCCUGACGCUGAGGCGCGAAGGCCAGGGGAGCAAACGGG